rnacentral:telomerase_RNA from 1 species
CAUCCUCCUUUCCUUUCGAACCUCCUCUUCUGUUGAUCGUCAACGUUGAAACGACGGGCAUGACUGGUGCCUAGUAGCCUUUUCCCAAGUUCCAUUUUCAAUUCAUACCUUGUUAAAUAUAGUCAAAACAAGGACCAAGCAGACCAGCACGACCGACACCAAGCUCUUUCGCCCCCUAGUUGCACCUCCAAACGCACGACGCCUCCCCUACAGUUCUCCGACUUCGCAUUUUCUCUGACAGGAAUUGCCCACUCCGGGCUUAUCCGAAUGGCUGGGCUUCCUGUUAUACGCCACCCUAGAGCCUGAAUCAGGACCUCUUGCCGUGGUUUUCAGUAUGGUAGGGAGCCGGUUGUCCUGGUGACGACACAGCCCAGCGAGAAAUUGUGUUUUCGGAACUUAACCCUAAGUUCAACUCUGGUUUAUUCAAGCUUUGCAUCUUUCGUCUGUUUGAGGCCGCUGUUAAUUUCAUUCGAGCUGCCUUUACGCGCCGCCGCUGAAAAGCGGUCCCGCGUUCUGGCCUCGUUGGGCCGGGCGUGCUCGAAGGGAUGACCGGUAGCUGAGAGCAACCAGUCACUCUAAGUGUGUAAAGGGACGAGCCACUGAGUCACAACACGGUAAGAUCCUCUGGUCUGAGGGCGCUUACUGGCUCCGUCCCGCUGGUAUUUGACGUUCGGCCCAAAUAGGACUGUUCUAGGGAGACGAGACAUCUCGAGUAGCUCGGAGAGUGUUGGCUAAUGCGCAUCCGUCCGAGAUCCAAACCUGCCUAUUCGGUCUAUGUGCCCUCUGCAUACAAACUGUGUUUGGUGUGCGGCCGAGGAAAACGGGAAGGGUGCGGCUCGGCUACACGCAGUCAGGAGUCGCUCGUUUCAACGCCGGUGCAAGGGACUGCCCUCGCCCGAAUCGCUAGAUCUUUACCGUGUAUAACCUAAUUUUGUCUAGCGAGCGAGGAGUCCCUCAGCUACAAACGGAAACGGCUCCCCCCUCCUGACUCGUAGCUUCGUUGCUACUAUUCCUGCCUGUGCGACGCCCUCAGCACCCGGAAUCCUCCGACACAAUCUCGGAAGCCUAAAUGGCGGAUGCGCAUUUCCCUCACGGACCGUUCAACCGAGACGACCGCACCUAGGACCCGACCUGUGACAAUAUCGCGGUCGUGUCAUGCUUGCAUGUGGUCCGGCCGGGUGCAUUAACCUGCGGCUCACCGGCGCUGUCCUGUGAAGCCGGAGGGCGCCAGAAAACGGACCCUUUCAGGGACACCUUCCUCUAUUGCACCGGCGACAGAGAUGAUAGCACGGUUUUUGCCAGACGUUUUUGUCCGUGCGGAACCCGCCCUCUACAUGCUCUCCUCGAGACUUGGAUGGAGAGGAAACAACAAACGUCUCAGUUGGCACUGCGGACAUACGGAAAGAGCUUCGGUCGGCCUUGCAGCUACUUGAUACCCGCGUUUGGCUAUGGAGCUGGGUAGCAAUGCAACCAUGACGGUUAUGACUUAUUCAUGGCAUCAUCGUCCGGUUUCGGCCAAGUGAGAAGAGUCCUUUGACCUGGGACGGUCUCGACCUUACUGAAACAGAGUUUCGCGCCGAAUGAACGAGUGAAACAGCAUUCAGGAACCCGAUUAAAGAUCGGUGUUUUAAAGCUUCGUGCUUUGCCAGGAUCUGCGAAUCGCUCAAUCUGCAGGGCUCAAAAAUCAGUCUAGGACGUGGCCCAUCAGGUCCAAAAACUCAUCACCUAUUGUAGAUAAGGGCAGGCCAUGGGGUUGGUAGCCCUGGUCGCGCUUUCUCCAGAAAUGGCGAGAGCGCGGCCCUCCACAUCCUGGGG